UUGAGAAUGUGCCCCAUAAAAUUCAGUGGGGCUUACUUCCGAGUAAACAUACAUAGGCUUGAGCUGUAAAUAAGCCUGCGGAAGGUUACUGGCUGUUUGGUAAGCAGAGCAUAAUUUUAAGUGGCAGCAGGGGGCAGGGUGGGGGGUCUGCAAGGGAAAAUCUUCAAUGAAACAAUGUACAAUCGCCCUUCGCGAUGAGCUUAAAGAAGAUGAAUAUAUGUAUAUCAUGAAUGGUCUCAAGAUUCACUUUGGCCCAUCGGAUUGUGCCAGAGAACAGCAGGAUAGAAAUUAAUAGGCACCAGGCACAUCAGAUAAAGGGUUGGUUCACCGGACUUCGUCCAUGAUGACUUGCAUGGUGAAGAGGCCCUAGCAAAUGUAGCACCACAGACAAAACUGUCGCCUCACAGGUCCUUCAUAAUGUUGGUAAAAGUAUGUACAAAUCAAGAGAUGUUAAUGGAAGCUCAUCUGGAAUCUCAUCCACUUGGUCUGAGCUGCUGCACGUCCAGCUCAAGCUUACAGCUGGAGAAAACACAGGAAGCAGAAAGAGAGCCAGCUCAUAUGAUUUUUCUGAUCACCUGCUGCAAGACACUUGAGAAUAGUGAACCAAGGAAAGGCCAGAGUGUAUAAAGAAGAAUUGAUUGUUGCUGUUGUUUUUUGUAUCAUAGCAGGUUGUUGGGAGCUGAAACCAAAUUUCACUUAGAUUCCAACACGAAUGCCAUUUCAAAAUGCAAAUUGCCAUGUCUCAAACCCAAGCUUUUUCCCCAAGCUAAGCUUGAUAAAGCCUGAGAAAGAAAGAGAAAGAAUAGUAUAUUGAUUAGAUGGCUGAUGACACCAGUUUGAAAGAAUGGUAGUUCACAUUUAAUGGUGGAUUUCAGUGUCAAAACACUUGAUGUUGAAUGUUGGUAGAGAAAUCUAAGUCCCAAUAUUAGAUUUAGAAUACCAAUGUUAAUUCUAACAUUGUUAAUUAACAAUGUUAAUUCUAGGAAGUUCCCCAUUGCUUUUGCUUGACCAAGCAGUACAAAAUACAGGAUGGAAUACCAAUGAGCUUAGUUGUGCUGGUAUUUUGUUUCUGUGCCAUUAUGCUGAAUGGCAAAUGUCCUUGCCAGAUUGAAGCCCUACUAUGGUACCAUUCUUUGUGAUAUUCCCUCCUGGCUACCACACUGGACUCUUACACUUACUUGCUGUGCGCAAUAUGAUGACGGUUCACUCAAGGGUGUGUGAAAAAUCAGAACAAGGCCAUAUAACAUGUACUGUAUGUUCAGACUGGUCAAUGACAGCCAAUUGCAUGUGUUUCUUCUGAUCAAAUUAUUCCAUACUGUGGGCUAGAUAUGAAAUGCUCAGAGUGAACAUCUCAGGGAUGUUUGUAGAAUGUUUUCCCAAGGGAUGUUUAUCAGGUACCUUUUAGGUUACUGGUUUUAAAAAAAAUAAUCUUUUAACCAAGGCCCUUUGUGAAUUUGAGAAGUGUUCAAUUCAUAAUUAUCAACGUCUGGUCCGUGACUGAAAUAACUUCAGGGAGUUACACCGCGGUUACCUUAGCUUGUCUGGGCAUUGUUCCUUGAUGUCCUUCUUCCUUACAGGUAGUUUGGAUUUGAACCUUCCUGCAGGAAAGCUGGUGGCUGAUAUCCUGACUAAUCCUGCACGUGUGCUCUUACCAGCACCAUUCCUGCAGCACUAACUUUGAUGCUCCUGAAGCAUUAGUACUUUUGCACAAGCACACAAUGAUCCUUGCCACUUUCCCCCUGCUCCAGAAGCCUGCAGAAACGCAUCCCUGGGGGCUGUACAACCCUCGGAAAUGUAUUUCUGUUGUCAGACAGCACUUCCGGAGCAAGGUGCACUUUGGGAGCACUAAUGCUAGAACUGUACAUAAGCUGCUGUUAAAAGCCCGAGCACAGUAUUCAUCAGGGUGCCAGUCACUUCCUUGCGUGUUUGUUGAUGUCUCAACCCAUAAAUCCAGCUCCUUUGUCAAUGAAGUUCUCAUUCUCAGUUCCAUGAAAGCUUAACUUCUGUGCCAAAAAUAAAUUACUCAUGCCUUCUUUUGAACUUAAUAUUUUGAAACGUCACACAGUUAAGAAUAUUUUGUAAGGUAUUCAUAUGGACAAGGAAUCAAAGGGCUGUAAGUAGUUGAGGGAUGUCACAGGGGAACGUUAUUAGAGGCAAUGUUGUCUAAGCAAGCCAAUCAUGCAGACCACAGAGACCACUGAAUUAUUUUGCAAAUACGGACAGCAUGUUGGAUAGCCCCAUGUUGAGUUCUCUCUCUCCCCUUUUGUUGUAACAUCUAAUACAACUUGUCCUUUGCCCUGAGGUUAUUACACUAUGCAUUUCCCUGCCCCUGUUCCAUAUCAUUAGCUGUCAUUGAUGAGAAGGGGGAAAUGUUCUGUAUAAUGAUAUCUGCAUUUGGUGUACAUAGGAACAUAGGAACCUGCUAUAUACUGAGUCAGCCCAUUGGUCUAUCUAGCUCAGUAUUGUCUUCACAGACUGGCAGCGGCUUCUCCAAGGUUGCAGAGAGGAAUCUCUCUCAGUCCUAUCUUGGAGAAGCCAGGGAGGGAACUUGAAACCUUAUGUUCUUCCCAGAGCGGCUUCAUCCCCUGAGGGGAAUAUCAUGCAGUGCUCACACAUCAAGUCUCCCAUUCAUAUGCAACCAGGGCAGACCCUGCUUAGCUAUGGGGACAAGUCAUGCUUGCUACCACAAGACCAGCUCUCCUCUCCAAGGAGAGAGUGUAAACUGCAUGAUGCAUUACGAUAAAAGAGUGAAUGUGAUAUGAAGCUGCCAUUUGUGUUUCUUGCAACAUAUAGUUUCACCCUUAGAGACAUAUUCUAACAAUCAUGUAGACAAGAAACUUAGUAGGGAUGCUAGCUCUUUUUUCUGUUAGCGGCAGUCCCUCAACCAUGGAAGGCCAUCAUCCUCACGCACUGCUUGUAAGCUCCCAGAGGCAUCUAGCAGCUCCCUGUUGGAAACAGAUUAUUGGCCUGGAUGGACCUUAGUCUGAUCCAAUACAGCAAUGUUUUUGUUCUUACAUUCUGUGCUUUUAACAGCUGUGUGACAAGCAAUAAUUCAGGAGGUGAAGCUGCCCUAUCACUGCAUCUGCAUGCUGGGAAAUGCUUCACUGUUGAAAUUCUGCUUGUUAAAGAUGCAGAAGCCCUGCCAAGAACAAAAAAGUUGGCAAGUCAAGAAACUUGCCCUUUUUAAAAAAGAAAAACAAGACUCCCUGAAAUAUAAAUUCUGCAUCAGAUAUCGUAUUCCAUGCUGUUCUUCCACAUUUGUUUCAUUGUGAGUUGAUAUUUUCAGGCUGUGCCACAUAUAUGUGAAUUUCAGCGGCCAUGCUGAGGACCCACAAGUUUUAAGAUAUGAAUUUGUAUCAUGUUAAAAUCUGUUGGUUUUAAUUUUGUGGCUGAUUUUAAAUUUUUGAAUUGUUUUAAUUUUU